UGGGGAAUUUUGGACAAUUGGGCGAAAGCCUGAUCCAGCAAUGCCGCGUGUGUGAAGAAGGCCUUCGGGUUGUAAAGCACUUUUGUCCGGAAAGAAAUCCUUGGCUCUAAUACAGUCGGGGGAUGACGGUACCGGAAGAAUAAGCACCGGCUAACUACGUGCCAGCAGCCGCGGUAAUACGUAGGGUGCAAGCGUUAAUCGGAAUUACUGGGCGUAAAGCGUGCGCAGGCGGUUUGCUAAGACCGAUGUGAAAUCCCCGGGCUCAACCUGGGAACUGCAUUGGUGACUGGCAGGCUAGAGUAUGGCAGAGGGGGGUAGAAUUCCACGUGUAGCAGUGAAAUGCGUAGAGAUGUGGAGGAAUACCGAUGGCGAAGGCAGCCCCCCUGGGCCAAUACUGACGCUCAUGCACGAAAGCGUGGGGGAGCAAACAGGAUUAGAUACCCCUGGUAGUCCACGCCCUAAACGAUGUCAACUAGUUGUUGGGGAUUCAUUUCCUUAGUAACGUAGCUAACGCGUGAAGUUGACCGCCUGGGGAGUACGGUCGCAAGAUUAAAACUCAAAGGAAUUGACGGGGUCAUAGCUGUUU
rnacentral:rRNA from 1 species